rnacentral:lncRNA from 1 species
CCAUUUACAACCACUCGACGCUUUCCAACAUUCUCAUGCGUACAAAGACUGUGUUGACUUCGUUACUUUAUAAUCCACACCUAACUUCAAGCUAAGUUAUUUUAUAGCAUGUAAACAGUCUUUUUUGUUAUCAAAUUGUUGUCUUAGACUUCGUUACUUUAUAUUCCACACCUAACUUCAAGCUAAGUUAUUUUAUAGCAUGUAAACAGUCUUUUUUGUUAUCAAAUUGUUGUCUUACAC